AGGAUACAGAAUGACUUCAGUUAGCACUGAGUUUCAGUGCUUUGAAAAUGACCACAACUGUCGAACUGCUAUAUGGUACUCAGAGAUUUAUUUGAUCGAAUUCGAAGGCCUGUAUCUCUCUGCACAGGUGGAUUGUGAUGGACGUCACUUUAUGGAGUGGAGAAACUGGUCUCUGUGCGCCAGAGCAGGCUCAGAAAAACCCCAGGCCUGCCAAGAACAAUUCAUGCUAUCAUCAACCCGCUGUCUGUGCCAACUGGGUUUCAGAUCUCUCUUACACAUCCCUGUUUUGUCAACACUAACAUUUUAAAAUGUCCUCUACAACUUCAUUGUUGUUUUUGCAUGUUGUAUUAAAAUACUGUUGAUGUUCUCUGCUGCUCAGUUUGGUUUUGCUCCUCUGCUGUUGGCCUUUUCACUAGACCUGCACAAAUAAUCAAAUAAUUUAAUUUACAAAUUGAAUAAA